CAGUCGCCGCGGUAACACGAGGGGGGCAAGCGUUGUUCGGAAUUAUUGGGCGUAAAGCGAGCGCAGGCGGUUAGAUAAGUCUGAAGUUAAAGGCUGUGGCUUAACCAUAGUACGCUUUGGAAACUGUUUAACUUGAGUGCAAGAGGGGAGAGUGGAAUUCCAUGUGUAGCGGUGAAAUGCGUAGAUAUAUGGAGGAACACCGGUGGCGAAAGCGGCUCUCUGGCUUGUAACUGACGCUGAGGCUCGAAAGCGUGGGGAGCAAACAGGAUUAGAUACCCCGGUAGUCCCUGUCUCUUAUACA
rnacentral:rRNA from 1 species